ensembl:lncRNA
GUUAGCCAGGCAGAAACAGGAAAGCACCAUACGUAGCUAGCUAACUACACUAUCUAGCUACACUUGUCCUUGCGGAAACCUUGUUGUUCAUAUUUUCACAACAUGUUCAAGGCAGCACUGCAAACGUUGACCUUGUGCAGUAGUUAUCUAGCUAAAUGAAAUAACUGGGCUGGCUAGUAAGAUGGAUAACAAGCAGCUCUUCCAAGUCAGCUAGGAUUGCGAUGUUUCUGCUAGCUAUCUAAAGCUGAAGUCAUUCGAGUUUUAUUUUCCUGACAUUGUCAUAGAUUUUAAUACAACUCCUCUUCUUUAGAGUAUAGGUAUUCAGACCUUCCUGGGUAAUGGACAGACCAUCUUUUCCAGAAUACAUUGGCAUGGGAUCCGGCGGUCCUUUCUUUGAAGGACUUCAAUGAAAGAUGGCCAACCCUGUUUGAACCCACUCGGGUACAAAAUACAGCCGAAGGAAAAUAGUCAAUCGGUUGUACGAAGACGCAAAGCGUUUGAUGAGGCGAAGGCUCGACUCCGGAGAAUGAAGAUGGACUACGCACUGUUGUACCCGGCCACAUUGAAGAUGAUGGUCAACGGAUCACCUAAAAAGCUCUACACACGUGAAGAGGCUGCUGCAUUUAUUGACUCUCUCGGGUAAAUAACUUUAAGCUGCACCUCCACAGCAUUGAAUAACUUUGUUUAUUUUUGAUUGAAUCUGAUCAUGAAACAGUGGUGUGAGUCCUCACGUACUCCGGCUCAGUAAUAUUCG